rnacentral:rRNA from 1 species
AUGGUUCAGAUGGGGAGCAAGUGCUGGCAGGAGUCAAAGACGCUGUGGCACAUCGCGCUCCCGGCGAUCCUCACCACCGUGUUCCAGUUCUCCAUCGGCUUCGUCACCAUCGGCUUCGUCGGCCACAUCGGGGAGGUCGAGCUCGGCGCCGUCACCGUAGCUAUAAACGUCAUCGAGGGCUUCGCCUACGGUGUCAUGGUUGGCAUGGGCAGCGCGCUGGAGACGCUAUGCGGGCAGGCGGUGGGUGCCGGACAGGUUGACAUGCUCGGCGUCUACAUCCAGCGUUCCUGGAUCAUCUGCGGCGCCACCGCGCUGGCACUCGCGCCGACCUAUGUCUUCACGGCGCCAAUCCUGCGGGCGCUCCACCAGCCCACUGCCAUCUCUGCCGUUGCCGGGCGGUACACACGGUUGGUCGUCCCGCAGUUGUUCGCCUACGCCGCCAACUUCCCGCUGCAGAAGUUCUUCCAGGCGCAGAGCAAGGUCUGGGCCAUGACCUUCAUCUCCGGCGCAGGGCUCGCCCUCCACAUCGCGCUCAACUACCUCUUCGUCACACGCCUCGGCCACGGCCUCUUCGGCGCCGCCAUGAUCGGGAAUGUCACCUGGUGGAUCAUCAUCGUUGCGCAGUUCGCCUACCUCGUCUCCGGCUGCUUCCCAGAGGCGUGGAAGGGGUUCUCCGUGCUGGCCUUCAAUAAUCUCACCGCCUUCGUCAAGUUGUCCCUCGCCUCCGCCGUGAUGCUCUGCUUGGAGCUGUGGUACUACAGUGCAGUGCUCAUCCUUGUGGGUCUCCUGAAGAAUGCUCAACUCCAGGUAGACGUCAUGUCCGUUUGCAUCAAUUACCAGCUCUGGACCCUUAUGGUGGCAAUAGGCUUCAAUGCAGCAGUGAGCGUUAGGGUGUCGAACGAGCUGGGCGCGAACAGGCCUAAGGCGGCCAAGUUCUCGAUGAUCAUAGCAGUGUUGACGUCCGCCGCCAUCGGGGCGGUCUUCCUGGCCGUGUUCCUCAUCUGGAGGACCGAGCUGCCACGGUUCUUCAGCGACAACGACAGGGUCGUGGGGGGAGCUGCAAAGCUUGGCUACCUUCUUGCAGCAUCCAUCUUCCUCAACAGCAUCCAGCCUGUGCUCUCAGGUGUGGCGAUAGGAGCAGGGUGGCAGACGCUUGUGGCGUUCAUAAACAUUGUGUGCUACUACUUGUUUGGCAUCCCACUGGGAGUCCUCUUUGGCUUCAAGCUAAAACUUGGUGCAUUGGGGAUUUGGGUGGGCAUGUCAAUUGGCACGCUGCUGCAGACUGCUAUACUUAUCAUAAUUUGCUUCCGAGCCAAGUGGGAGAAUCAGGCUAUGUUGGCCGAGGAGAGGAUAAAGAAGUGGGGAGGAAGCAGUGAAACAUUGCCGGCGGCCACAACAACUGCGACAAACAAUAUCAUAGAUCAAUAA